rnacentral:tRNA from 1 species
GGGCCUGUGGUCUAGUGGCUAGGAUGCUGCCCUCACAUGGCAGAGAUCGCCGGUUCGAGAGCGUCAGCCGAAUGCUUCCCGCGUUCGACUGCGUCGAACUUCCGGCCAGGCCCA